UAUAGGGAGGUCUUGCCUGCCCAGUGACAAUGUUAAACGGCCGCGGUAUUUUGACCGUGCGAAGGUAGCGCAAUCACUUGUCUUUUAAAUGAAGACCUGUAUGAAUGGUGAAACGAGGGCUUAACUGUCUCCCUUUUCUAGUCAAUGAAAUUGAUCUGCCCGUGCAGAAGCGGACAUAAUAAUACAAGACGAGAAGACCCUUUGGAGCUUAAGAUAUAAAGAUCAUCUAUGUCAAUGGGCCCCAACACGGCAACAAACUAAAUAGCAACUGAUCUUAAUCUUCGGUUGGGGCGACCACGGGAGAAAAUAAAGCUCCCACGCGGAAUGGGGUAAACCCUAAAACCAAGAAAAACAUUUCUAAGCAACAGAACUUCUGACCAUUAAGAUCCGGCUACACGCCGACCAACGGACCAAGUUACCCUAGGGAUAACAGCGCAAUCCCCUUUCAGAGUCCAUAUCGACAAGGGGGUUUACGACCUCGAUGUUGGAUCAGGACAUCCUAAUGGUGCAGCCGCUAUUAAGGGUUCGUUUGUUCAACGAUUAAAGUCCUACGUGAUCUGAGUUCAGACCGGAA
rnacentral:rRNA from 1 species